rnacentral:sRNA from 1 species
CAUAAAGUACCGCACCCAAUUAAUCUGCAAUGCCCCAUAUUCUGCCCAUGCGGGAAGGAUGAGAAGCUUCGACUAAGGUUCGAUUCGAGCGUCAGCGAGAAAGCGUUGCCGCAGGCAACGACCCGAAGGGCGAAGCGCGCAGCGCUGAGUCAUCCUUCCCCCACCACCA